rnacentral:tRNA from 1 species
UAUAUAUUGGUGUAUGAUGCACUAAGAAUUUUGAUUUCUUUAGAUUUAGUUUAAUUCUAGAAUAUAUAA